AGCGAACGCUGGCGGCAGGCCUAACACAUGCAAGUCGAACGGAUCCUUCGGGAUUAGUGGCGGACGGGUGAGUAACACGUGGGGACGUGCCCUUUGGUUCGGAACGACUCAGGGAAACUUGAGCUAAUACCGGAUGUGCCCUUCGGGGGAAAGAUUUAUCGCCAUUGGAGCGGCCCGCGUCUGAUUAGCUAGUUGGUGAGGUAAAGGCUCACCAAGGCGACGAUCAGUAGCUGGUCUGAGAGGAUGAUCAGCCACAUUGGGACUGAGACACGGCCCAAACUCCUACGGGAGGCAGCAGUGGGGAAUCUUGCGCAAUGGGCGAAAGCCUGACGCAGCCAUGCCGCGUGAAUGAUGAAGGUCUUAGGAUUGUAAAAUUCUUUCACCGGGGACGAUAAUGACGGUACCCGGAGAAGAAGCCCCGGCUAACUUCGUGCCAGCCGCCGCUAUAACAC
rnacentral:rRNA from 1 species